rnacentral:rRNA from 1 species
AACGAACGCUGGCGGCAUGCCUAACACAUGCAAGUCGAACGAGACCUUCGGGUCUAGUGGCGCACGGGUGCGUAACGCGUGGGAACCUGCCCUUAGGUUCGGAAUAACUCCCCGAAAGGGGUGCUAAUACCGGAUAUGUCUUUGGACCAAAGAUUUAUCGCCUUUGGAUGGGCCCGCGUUGGAUUAGCUAGUUGGUAGGGUAAAAGCCUACCAAGGCGACGAUCCAUAGCUGGUCUGAGAGGAUGAUCAGCCACACUGGGACUGAGACACGGCCCAGACUCCUACGGGAGGCAGCAGUGGGGAAUAUUGGACAAUGGGCGAAAGCCUGAUCCAGCAAUGCCGCGUGAGUGAUGAAGGCCUUAGGGUUGUAAAGCUCUUUUACCCGGGAUGAUAAUGACAGUACCGGGAGAAUAAGCUCCGGCUAACUCCGUG